GUGUGCCCACUUUGUACUCCCUUCCACAGGUGUAAACAACUACAAAUGGUGCAAAGCAGCGGUGAAGUGUGUAAAGUCCAUAAUCUAGAACUAUUUAGGUACACACCAUUAGAAGGCAGCCGCCCUACUUCAAACCCAGCACAAUCAAGGUGUCCUUCACCAAGACCAACAAACCCUCCUUGAGUAGCUCAUGUGAGGCAGGGAUAAAGCAGCAUCCUACCCAGGCAGCUACCCCAUGGCUGAGUAAAGUAGACACUGUACAGGAGAACAGCAACAGGGACACAGACGGGAACCAGAUUCUCAGGGACAGGUGCCAGGAACAGGAACACAACAGGAACCAGACCUCAGGAACUUUGGUGACAGUCUGACCAUUGGAGCCAACAAGCCAGAAGGAAGAAGAGCACAGGAGAAGGGAACAUAUGAGCUGAACCAACUUAAGAAGCCCGAAAGAGCCCAGAGGCACAUCUGAGCCUCACCGAGGGGGAGCCAAUCCUGUAUUUAAAAUCUAUAAUAUUUCCUGUGAAUGGCAUCUCAUUUUGGCAUCUCAAGUGGGUGGAGCUUCGUUUGUGGGCAGAGCUUUGAAGAGUUCAGCUUCACUUUUUUCUUUUCAAAUCGACCCAUUCUCAAUACAUCUUCUGUUUCUCUACAGAAGGGAUCACUUACCUUGUCAUGUUCUACUUCUCAAUCUGUGCAACAGCACAUGUGAAAAUGUGAUAGUCAAAGAGUUUAACUUAAAAAUCUAUUUGAUCAGUUACAUUGUGGAGACUCUAUAUUUCCAAAGCAGAUGUACUGAAAAAGCUCUUAUAUUCUCAGAUUGAAACAAAGGGUCUUUACAUAUUAUGGACCACAUUUUCAA